rnacentral:rRNA from 1 species
AGCCAGGGUGUUCCUUCACGCGGGGUUAUUUCUGCUCACUGGUAAGCUAAAUAGCCGCAGUACCCUGACUGUGCAAAGGUAGCAUAAUCAUUUGGCUUAUAAUUGAAGUCUGGCAUGAAGGAAAUCAUGGGUAGCAACUGUCUUCUAUAAACUGUUAGAAUUUACUAAAUAGGUGAAAAUACCUAUAAACUACUAAUAGACGAGAAGACCCUAGAAAUUUUAAUAUAAAAGUAUUUUAAACUUACUAUUUUGUUGGGGCGACAGAAUAACAGUUGAACUUAUUUUAAUAUAUUUGUACUAAUUUUUGAGUAAAAUUAAAUUACUCUAGGGAUAACAGCAUAAUUUACUUAAAGUUUGUGACCUCGAUGUUGGACUAGGGUUUUUAAUAAUCAGAAGUUAUUAAACUAGGCUCUGUUCGAGCUUCAUUCCCU